UAGGGCACUAGACCCGGAUGGCACACAGUUCUAGCAUGAUUACACUCCCACUCCUUGUAUAUAUGAACAUGUAGCAUACAAGAUCUUGUACUCAUUCCUUCUUUUUAAUCAAGGUUUUCAUUUUUUUUCCUUUGCCUCUAUCACAUUUCUUUUCAUUAUUUUCUUUGAAACGAAGGCCUUUGUUAUGUAUACGCUUAUGUAUAACAUGAUGCUUUUCUGCUUUGGGGGUUAAAAAGAGGUGCGUGGGGUAAUGGAGGAAAACAAGCACCAAGCCAUGCUAUCUCAUUUAGUCAGGUCUAGCUUGUAUGUAGUAGUAGGAAUAGUGCUUCACACACUAAACCGUUUGGAGCAAUUUUGUAGAAGUAGCUGAGGCCGGCAGUGGUGACGUAAAAGAGGAAAUGUCCAUCACUCGCAUCGGGUGGAACAACGGUAGGCUCAGCUAGGUUGCCGCGUGGUUACACCCUACUAUAGGGCCACCCUUUCAUAUGUAAUGCAAAAGCUUUACCACACAUUAAGGGACUGUAGCUCGAUCGUUAUAUAUAUAUUAAUAUGUUUUAUACAAAGCUAGAGUGACAGUGUACCCGUUCCUUCUUUUCAAUUAAGGUUUUCCAUAGUUUAUCUACUAUCGUUUUUCUAGCGUAAGGUCUUCAGUUAGGUUCAGUAGGAGCCUUUGCUACUUCGUUAGUUCUUAUGUGCGAUUAUUUUCCACACUUUAAGAACACAAUGUUCAAUACUCCAUCUAUUUCAAAAUAUAAGAUGCAUUAUUUUUUUAUCAUUGACCAAGUUUAUAGCAAGAUAUAUCAACAUUUAUAUACUACAUAUAUAAAAUAUAAAAAUAUAUUACAUGUCUUGAUAUUGUAGAUACACUUUUUACUCGAUAUAAAUCCGUCAAAUUUGAGAAGUUUGACUUCCUGAAAAUCAAUACACGUUGUAUUAUCAAAAUAGAGGGACUAGUGUCUGGUCCAGCAUGCCAAUGUAGUUGACCUCUUUGUCCACAAGUCACUCCAUCGCGUGCGCGACCACAAAAUGAUAGAUAUGAUAAGUAGGGAGAGCCUGUCGAAAUAAAUUAUACAAUGGCUGGAGGUGAGUUUACACAUGUGCUGAGAGUAAAGAUAAUCUUCGCCUUUAUUUUGAGUAAAGCAGACAACUUUGAUACGAAUACAUGCAAAUGAUUGCUUGUUCAGAACAUAGAUGCAAAUUGGAUUGUCUGUUGUUGGAUUGUUUUCAGUUUCCUGCCGAAAUGGUGUAAUAAGCUGCUUGGUGCAAACUUUGUGAGUAUAGUAGAGAAAGGUACAUAUGGUCACUGUAACCACCCAUUUGCAUGUUUUUAAUUUUUGAUCCUUGUCAUGUGUCUCGUGGGACUGGGGAAACAUUUGAGCACAGAGUCAUCGAUAUUUGAUGGAUGGCAACAAUAGUUUUCGCAUGACUAAACGGUACUUCCUUCACUAUAUAACAUACCAAACAUCUAACAUGAGUUGCAAGAUAACAUGAACUAUGCAAUUGCGAGAUCAUGCUUACUCUUUUCUCUCUCCGUUCAUGUAAACAAUUGUAAUUGCCAUAGUAGCAUUAGUUGCCAGUUAACAUUGGAAUAUUGGAAGAAGACAAAUGCAAAACUAGUGCAGCAUCAUCGCUUCCGGCUUUUGGUAGUCUGGCACGAGCGUUGCUGGCACAGUGGACGGAGCACCCUCCAGUUUCCUUGUGACUGCCAACUCAUUAACCGCCACAAUCGUCGCUUCUUCUCUUAGGUCGCCGGGGUAUGGCUCCAGCACGUUGGAGUGCAGGAUCACUGCAUUGCCCAGGCUCCAUCGAAUCCGGCAACGCUGUCUAUGCUCCCUGACAGUGUCAGGAUAAACACCUUCGUCGGCACCAGCCUGUGAGUUACACUGAGUCGGACCCGGAAUCGACAACUUUCUUGGCGACUGAGAGCGCGAUAAUGAAGAUGGAUGUUGCUCUGCUAGCCUUGAGUAUGCCAAAGCGGUGUCGCAACCAUCUUGUGUUGAGUUGCUCCCCAUGGCAUUCAUGAAAGUCCGCCCUUGCUUCUUAAGCCAUAGUGGAGCGGCCCGAGAUUCUCGUCAUAUUCCAUGCAGAGAGGAGCUAGGCGUGCCCCCGCUAGGAGGUUGGCGACGUGACACAUGUCAAGAAGCCGGUUAGGAUGUCGAAAGGGGCAGCUGGUUCGGGUACACAUACGGCACUUGCGGUGAGAAGUUAUGCCCAUGUGGCGACGAAGCCGGAUGCGAACCUGGUCAUCGAGUGGCCAUGGAGGUCGUAACAAAUUUCUGUUCGCAUGCAAACAAUUAUUCAGCCUGUGGCCACGUUGGUUAUAUUCUUGGACUGGCAUGUCCAUAUUCAACAUUCAACGGCAACGAACUCAGUUCUUGAUUAGAUGUCAGAUGGUAACCAAUAAACUUCGUUGGGGACUGGCCGUUGUUUCACAGAAAUUAUACACAUGGAAAUGACGUGUUCCAACCAUGCUGCGCGCAUGAUCAGACUGAACUCCUGCUUCCAGGUCAAUGCAUUCACUGAUGGACCCAAAUUUUCUGCAAGAAAUUUUGUAUACUCGGUAUAUUGUUGGAUAUAUUUUCAUUUUCUGAUUAAUUUUAUUUAUAAAUAAAUCAUCAUGGUAGAGCUAACAAUAUUAUCCUCAUAUUGUAUACUAAUCAUGCAUGUGUGCACUAGAUAUAGAACAUCUGAACAUGCAUAUCUAUCAUC
rnacentral:lncRNA from 1 species